GCCCAUUUAGCUCAGUUGGUACGCCAUGAGACUCUUAAUCUCAGGGCUGUUGGUUCCAGCCCCACAUUGGGCA